rnacentral:rRNA from 1 species
GUCCAGACUCCUACGGGAGGCAGCAGUGAGGAAUAUUGGUCAAUGGGCUUACGCCUGAACCAGCCAAGUCGCGUGAGGGAGUACUGCCCUAUGGGUUGUAAACCUCUUUUGUCGGGGAGCAAAAGCCGGACGUGUCCGGCUGUGAGAGUACCCGAAGAAAAAGCAUCGGCUAACUCCGUGCCAGCAGCCGCGGUAAUACGGAGGAUGCGAGCGUUAUCCGGAUUUAUUGGGUUUAAAGGGUGCGCAGGCGGAAGAUCAAGUCAGCGGUAAAAUUGAGAGGCUCAACCUCUUCGAGCCGUUGAAACUGGUUUUCUUGAGUGAGUGAGAAGUAUGCGGAAUGCGUGGUGUAGCGGUGAAAUGCAUAGAUAUCACGCAGAACUCCGAUUGCGAAGGCAGCAUACCGGCGCUCAACUGACGCUCAUGCACGAAAGUGUGGGUAUCGAACAGGAUUAGAUACCCUCGUAACA